rnacentral:lncRNA from 10 species
GCUGUGGGAAGGAAAGAUUUCCACCCCCAUUUUAUAGCUGUGCCAACUGAGGCGCUCAGAAGCAAAGGGAUUUCCUUGACCAAGGUCACUAGGGAGUCUUCUCUCCUAGUCUGGUGGUCCGGCCCUCAGCGGCCUCCAGGCACCACACGUUGGGAAGCUCUGCUUGCGCUGGGCAGAGCCUGCUUGUUUCGGGUGGGGUGUGGGGAAGUAGGAAGGGGGGCUUCUCUUCCUGGCUGAGUCUGCUCAUGCCCCCAGGGUCUGACUUUGUUUUUAUCUGCAAAAGGGAGUGUCUCUUCCUGCAAACAGAUCCCUGGGGCUCUUAGACCAAGGUCAGGGGUUGUGAGUCCCGGCCCAGCCCCUCCACCCCCCUGCCCCCCCGAUGCGACCAUGGGCUCUGGCAGUGACUAGGUGGCCACCCUCCGCCCCCGUGGGCCAGCGGCGAUUCUCUGCGGGACCUGGCAGCACCCCGGGCCAGCUCUGGGGAAGCCGCCGUCCCGACCUCCACACCUCCCCGUAGAGGAGCGCCGAGCCUCGGCUCCUGCCGGCGGGAGCCCCCGAAUGCUGCACCCAGCCACCCAGCAGAGCCCGUUCAUGGUUGAUCUCCACGAGCAGGUAGGCAGAACCCCAUCCCCUGUGCCCCUGGCCCUGUGAGCCAGUCUGAGAGGCAGAGGCAGCAAGGCCUAGAUUUCACCUAGCUUGCUUCAUUUCACGUUCCAGGGAGGCAUUAUUGGCCCUGCUUUACAGGUAGGUAAACUGAGGCCCGGGGAAAGGGCCACACUGGGUGACUAGCAGAGCUAGAUUCCCACGGGGCUUUCUCUGCCCCGGGGGCCUGGGAGUAGAGGCACAGUCUGGUCUGCACUGAGGUAGGCCGCCGUGGAGAAGGGAAGGGAGCCGGCAGCUGGAUGUGGCAGGAUGAUUUCUCCUGAGAGUAGCCCUCGCGGUCAGCUUCCUUUUCAUACUUUCCCGGCGUUCUCUCCACCCACAGGUGCACCAGGGACCUGUCCCUCUGUCCUACACGGUCACCACAGUGACGACCCAAGGCUUCCCCUUGCCUACAGGCCAGCACAUCCCUGGCUGCAGUGCCCAGCAGCUCCCAGCAUGCUCCGUGAUGUUCAGUGGGCAGCAUUACCCCCUCUGCUGCCUCCCGCCCCCGCUUAUCCAGGCGUGCACCAUGCAGCAGCUGCCUGUGCCCUAUCAGGCCUACCCCCACCUCAUCUCCAGUGACCACUACAUCCUGC